rnacentral:rRNA from 1 species
GACGAACGCUGGCGGCGUGCCUAAUACAUGCAAGUCGAGCGGAGCGGCGGACGGGUGAGUAAUGCCUGGGAAUCUGCCUGGUAGUGGGGGAUAACGUCCGGAAACGGGCGCUAAUACCGCAUACUAUCAGAUGAGCCUAGGUCGGAUUAGCUAGUUGGUGGGGUAAAGGCCUACCAAGGCGACGAUCCGUAACUGGUCUGAGAGGAUGAUCAGUCACACGGGAACGGAGACACGGUCCAGACUCUGACGGGAGGCAGCAGUGGGGAAUAUUGGACAAUGGGCGAAAGCCUGAUCCAGCCAUGCCGCGUGUGUGAAGAAGGUCUUCGGAUUGUAAAGCACUUUAAGUUGGGAGGCGGUACCAUAAGAAAAAGCCCCGGCUAACUACGUGCCAGCAGCCGCGGUAAUUC